CCUACGGGUGGCAGCAGUGAGGAAUAUUGGUCAAUGGCCGAAAGUCUGAACCAGCCAAGCCGCGUGAAGGACGACUGUCCUAUGCAUUGUAAACUUCUUUUAUAAAGGAAUAAAAUGAGGCUCGAGUGCCUGUUUGCAUGUACUUUAUGAAUAAGCAUCGGCUAACUCCGUGCCAGCAGCCGCGGUAAUACGGAGGAUCCGAGCGUUAUCCGGAUUUAUUGGGUUUAAAGGGAGCGUAGAUGGGGUGUUAAGUCAGUUGUGAAAGUUUGCGGCUCAACCCUAGAAUUGCAAUUGAUACUGGCAGUCUUGAGUACAGGUGAGGUAGGCGGAAUGCGUGGUGUAGCGGUGAAAUGCUUAGAUAUCACGAAGAACCCCGAUUGCGAAGGCAGCUUACCAACCUGUGACUGACACUGAUGCUCGAAAGUGUGGGUAUCAAACAGGAUUAGAUACCCCUGUAGUC
rnacentral:rRNA from 1 species